rnacentral:rRNA from 1 species
AUGAUGCGACCUUCGCAAACCAACAAAUCGCAGCCAAUGCCGCUGCCGCUGCCACCUCCGCCACUCUCGCUGCCGUCGACGCCGUCGACCGUCCCGCGAUGGCGAAACCGCAGCGCCUCCUCCUCUUCCUCGUCUUCCUCCGUGUCCACCGCCUCCUCCUCCUUCUCCCCGUCGACGUCCCCCGCCCCGUCUCCUCGCACCACCUCAGCCACUUCCGUGGUGCCCUUUUCGUGGGAGCGCCGCCCGGGACUCCCCAAGAGCAAUCUCGCCGGCCUUAUCUCCUCGUCCAGCGACACCGCGGCCGUUCCGCUCCCACCGCCGCCACUGCGCCCUUCCACUCGCCGCUGCCGGCAGCGCAGACGCCGCCGCGCCCUCGACGCCCCCGCACCUGCACCCGCAGCAGACCCCUUCGCCGCCGCCUUCGUGGAGUGCACAAGGGAAGAAGGCACAGACGACGGAGAUGACAAGCUUUGGCUGACACCGACGACAACCAACUCCAGCCGCAUGGCGCGGCCGUGGCGACUCGCCGGCGGCAGUGUCCGUGUCAUCAGGUUCCUCGACCUGUACGGGUGCAGGAGGGCCAUGGACGUCGCCGACGGUGCUUUCCUUGCUCGCCGGUCCGUCGCACCGCGUCCACGACCAUGA